CCAUUCCAAUCCCUAAAAAAAACUUCCCACCUCCCUUCUCUCGCGCCUCUUCCUCUCCUACGCAGAUCACACCUUUGAUGGCGGCACUUCUUCCUCUCCAACGUGGAUGGUAACCACGACGGUGAUACAUCAGUUUCCCCACGCUCCUCGCGGCCCCUCCCUCGCGCAGGCUCCAGGGGCGCGCACAACGCCUGCGCCAGUGGCGGGAACGCCGGAUCCUGUUCCCGUGGAACCACAGCGGGCAGCGUAGUCCCGUCGCCACCGUCUAAGGAGCGCAACGGCGACGAACCAAUCCAGAUCCACAGGUGACCCUGAACUUGGAGAAUGAAACCUCGUACAAGAGCUGGUGAUGACCCCUAGGUUGGUAGUUCUGGCUCCAGGGGCGCGCACAACGCCUGCGCCAGUGGCGGGAACGCCAGAUCCUGUUCCCGUGGAACUACAACGGGCAGCGUAGUCCCGUCGCCACCGUCUAAGGAGCACAACGGCGACGAACCAAUCCAGAUCCACAGGUGACCCUGAACUUGGAGAAUGAAACCUCGUACACGAGCUGGUGAUGACCCCUAGGUUGGUAGUUCUGGUACGUGUGUUAACUCCAUAGAAAGAGGAAAAGCUGCAUUCAGCUGAUGGAUCAUGCGUGAAUUAUAAUCAUUUCCUAUAGGUAUAUAUUUUUGGCAUGAUGAUUUGAGUGUUAAUCUGUACCUUGUAAUAGGCUAAUAGGUUUAGUAAUUACUUCUGGCAGUAGAUUAGUCAUUCUGCUGACAUAGUCUAUAUGUGGGCAGAAACAUGUUUUGUGUUUGCCGGCAUUUUGGUAUUGCCCCCCAAAGGCCUGAACUCGAAUAAUGUGCCCUGUUAUCUCAGUAAUGAGAUCCGGGUUGAUUCCAAUUGAAAGCAAUGCACAGAGUAUAAUUAGAAACUUGGUAUGUCGUAUGCAUAUUUUAGAAACUAAUAUUUUCAUGGUUGGUGGUAGAUAUUGAUAUGUCGCGGAAAACAUUUUUUACACUUAGUAUAAUUAGAAAUAAGAUUCAGUGAACUCACAGGAUGACCCAUUUUGAAAUAUGUCUUUUUAAGUCAAACUAGAAAUAUAAACUAUUUCUGCCAAAUUUACGACUUCAGGUUGGAUAGUCUCUCUGUAAGAACUGAACGCUUAUGUGCUAUAGGUAUAUGAAUUUGUUUAGUACUGCCUUUUCCGUUUUGACAUGUCAAUGUUUCCUUUCUUCUGUUACAGAGAUUCAGAAUAAGAAGUUGCCCUAAUAGAUUUUUCUACCAUUGUAUCAUUGCAUCAUGAUGCUUUGAAAGAUGAUGCAACUACGAUCAAUAUUCAGAUGAUCUCUUUCAGCUUAACAUGUUCGAUAUAUUGAACAGUGCUAUUUUACUAUGAGCUGACUCUGAUCUUCUUAAACUAUCUUAUCAUACAUUGAUGUGCCUUUUAGUUUUGUAAUUUGCCGCUAAUAUUUCUACUUGUGUGGCUUUUUUUAGGUUUGAAGUUUAUUGGUCCUUUUUUUAGGCCGGCGUUUAUUUGUCCUGAAUGAAGGUCUAUUGGGAUCCUAAGCAUCAUAUUGUCUCAUUGUGACAACAACGAAUAUUCAGAAGUGUGGUAGGUUGUCCAUCUGAUCUCCAAUUUUGAAAGAAUAUAUGUAUUACUUCUUAGUCAAAGAAAAUGAGCAUACAUGUGUGUUUUCUGGACAUGAUUUUACAAUAAGAUGUUUUUUAACUGUAGUUGGACAAUAAGAUGAUGAUUGUAAGUCCCGUCUGUUAAUUCAUAAUGGGGUCUCUAAAUUUCUGUUUUUUCACUUGAUAGGUGAUGUACAAUGCUUUCUGGUAUGAGAUUGCUUGUCAACAAUUUCGUGCAUCGGUCUCAUCUCAAUGAUGUUCACAUUUUUUAUUAUUAUAUGCAGAUUUUGUCUUUAUUUUCUCCGUUCUUUCGUUGCUGAGCCAAAUAGUAUAAACAUAUUAUUGAACAUGCUUUGGCGGAGAUAUCAAACAAGACUAUUUAUUACAAAGUGGCAGAUGGACUCAUUGAUAUGGUGGCUCACAUGAGAACACUAUAUGCAAGAAGGAUCAAAUUAUGAGUAUAUAGUUUUCGCAUUAGCUUUUCUGUGAUUUCCUUUUGCUAACACCCCGCUAUUUAGGAUUUGAAGAGCAUGAUGAUUUGCAUGCAUCUUCCCUUUAGGUGUCACAAGGUAUUGAGGUUCGACAUGAAAGGUGCAUAGGAUAUUGUUAUAUCGUUGCCCACCGAUAUCUCAUAAGAUACAUUACUUAUUUUGUAUUUGCCUUGCAAUUUUGCAAUCUACCACAAUGAUAUGAUCUCCUCGCAUAAAAACAAACAAAAAUCAGGUUACAGCAGGAAUUAUUCUUACAACCAUUUUUCAGUUGUGCAUUUCCUUAUUUUGC